rnacentral:rRNA from 1 species
UACGUAGGGCGCAAGCGUUGUCCGGAAUUAUUGGGCCUAAAGCAUCCGUAGCCGGUUCUACAAGUCUUCCGUUAAAUCCAACUGCUUAACAGGUGGGCUGCGGGAGAUACUAUAGAGCUAGGAGGCGGGAGAGGCAAGCGGUACUCGAUGGGUAGGGGUAAAAUCCGUUGAUCCAUUGAAGACCACCAGUGGCGAAGGCGGCUUGCCAGAACGCGCUCGACGGUGAGGGAUGAAAGCUGGGGGAGCAAACCGG